GCAGUGUGGUGGAAAUGACCUUCGGCUUGUAACCGAGUGGGUUCGGGUUCAAGUCCCGAGUAAGGCA